ACUUUUCACUGUCCGAAGGUUCAAAGGUCAUCUUUUGUACAACGGUAUUCAUAUUUUUGGAACAAAACAACGCUUUACAGAAAACAUUUGCAAGGAUAUUAGCAUCAAUUCUUAAAAGGACGUAUGCACCAUUUUUAAGAAAGGAAACGUAAAAUAUAUCAAGGUUACUGGUGGUGAAAAUGAGCUGAAAAGAAAGAAACAGACCAGUAGUAAUAAAGAAAUCACAGCUGAGGUUGCUGUGAUUGAAUGGACAAAGAAAAGGGUGUUUAUUUGAAUUCUUGCUGAUAAUGGUAAAUGGAGUUUUCAAAAAGGCCAGUUGGAUGCGGUUUCAAUAUAAAUUUUGCAUUGCGAAAGCUUAACAAGAAAGAUGAACUUGAAAUUGACUUCAGUUAUAUAAUACCUAAUUUUUGUGAGAAAAUCAACAGAGACACAAAUUUAAUGGCGGAGACGGAAAGGGACUAUACCAUCAAACGUGUAACAGCUUACUUUACUCUAAGUAAAACACUGUUUGUUUUAAUUUAUGGACCACAAUGAACAUAUGUUAUGAUCCGUAAUUGUGGCAUGUAUGCAAUUUUGCGUUUUGUUCAUAUCUGAUUCAUUUGAUUGAUAUUAUUGUGUUGUUUUAGAUGCUGUAUUGUAAACUUCUAUAUAACAAAAACUGAAUACAAAAUCUCUUGCACCAUUUAUAUAGUAAUUUGCCUUAUUAAUUAUAAAUGUCUACAUCUGAAAGGAACGAAAGUAAAUCAUUCUGCAAAUGUUGUAGCUAUUUCUAAAACUAAAUGUAUUCAAAAUACCAUUUCCACGUAAUAUUUCUGUUUCAGAACUCAUUUAAAUAGAACAUUAGAAAUCUAAUAUAUGAUUUACCUUUAAAUUGUUCUAUUUGUAUUAAAACAUAUAACAGGAUAUUGAUCAGCUAACGCGCGUAUUAGUAUCGUUAUGUAAUACAGUUUAAAGCACGAACCGUUGUCUUACUAAUUAAAUUAACUAUUUUCUGUUGUAUAUAUUUUACUUGUUUUCAGCAUACUUCUGGUUGGUGCAGAUUUAACGGCCCGCUUUGGUUUCGAAAGUAAAUGGCUAUUUAUUAUACUUGGCACAUGACCUUUUCAUUCAUCAUUUCUACAAUGAUCCUGGUCUGUUCAGCGAUAGCCAGUCGUAGAUUUCGUAGAGGUGGAGCGAGCUUUUGUUUCGCCAAUAGUCCGUCUCUAAAUUUUAUUCAGUUAUCAGGUGACCCGCCUCCUAUUAUCAAAAUUGUUAACUAUGCAACACGCCUUGCAAUUAAGAUUGUUAAAUACUCUAGUGAUUGAACGGUACUUUUAUAUUGUUGAUUUCAUGUAUAUUAUUAUUUUUGGAGGGACAUAUGUAUUUUAUAUCGAUGUGUAAUUUUUACAUUUUUGCAUGUUUUCUUACAAAAAAUGUUAUAUUCUUACUUAAUGAACAUGUGUCAAUGUAUUUCGUCCUUUUAGAUGUUUGAGAAUUAUUUGUUUAGUAAUUUUACAUAUGUUGAAUUAACAUGAAUGUUUUGGCGCGCUGCACUUAUUAGUUAAAGCUUUUUUAGUAUUCGUGGUACCCCAUAGUUUUUGUCUUACAUUAAAUCUGCGACAUUCCUACUGAAAAGAUCAAACCCAAUUACAUAAAUAUUAUAACACUAUUCCGUACGCGUAAAGCACUUUGUUUUUACACUUUUGACACGGACGCGCUUAAAUAGCAUAGUGGUCCUGCAUUACAUGUAACCUAUCAUAAAACAAUACUAGGUUGUCUGGCAGCUAAAACCAACUCACUUAAAAACAAAUAUAUUUUUUUCGUGUGUCCAUCGAACUAUAAAAACACGGUUUAAAUCAUAUCAUUAACGAAGGCCAAAUGUGUCAUAAUUUACUGAACUAGUGGUACAUGUAGACAGGUUAUUAUUAGAAAAUUAUCAGAAAUUAUUUAUAAUGCAUUCAUACUGAGAACACUGUUAUUGUAAAUAGUGUUAAACCUUUAGAUCUACGCAUCUAAAUAACAGUUCUGUGUGUCCCCCGUUAUAUGACUGAAAGACUGUUGAAAAGCGGCGUUUAAACCCAAACGAACAAACAAAC
rnacentral:lncRNA from 1 species